CCUACGGGUGGCAGCAGUAGGGAAUCUUCCACAAUGGGCGAAAGCCUGAUGGAGCAACGCCGCGUGGGUGAAGAAGGUUUUCGGCUCGUAAAACUCUGUUGUUAGAGAAGAACGUGCGUGAGAGUAACUGUUCACGCAGUGACGGUAUCCAACCAGAAAGUCACGGCUAACUACGUGCCAGCAGCCGCGGUAAUACGUAGGUGGCAAGCAUUAUCGGGAUUUAUUGGGCGUAAAGGGAACGCAGGCGGUUGGUUAGGUCUGAUGUGAAAGCCUUCGGGUUAACCGAAGAAGUGCAUUGGAAACUGGGAGACUUGAGUGCAGAAGAGGAGAGUGGAACUCCAUGUGUAGCGGUGGAAUGCGUAGAUAUAUGGAAGAACACCAGUGGCGAAGGCGGCUGUCUGGUCUGUAACUGACGCUGAGGUUCGAAAGCAUGGGUAGCGAACAGGAUUAGAUACCCUAGUAGUC
rnacentral:rRNA from 1 species